GACGAACGCUGGCGGCGUGUUUAACACAUGCAAGUCGAACGAUGAAGCCGGAGCUUGCUCUGGUGAAUUAGUGGCGAACGGGUGAGUAACACGUGAGUAACCCGCCCUUGACUCUGGGAUAACUGCUAGAAAUGGUAGCUAAUACCGGAUACGACCCUCGGAGGCAUCUCCAGGGGGUGGAAAGAAUUUCGGUCAAGGAUGGACUCGCGGCCUAUCAGCUAGUUGGUGAGGUAACGGCUCACCAAGGCGACGACGGGUAGCCGGCCUGAGAGGGUGACCGGCCACACUGGGACUGAGACACGGCCCAGACUCCUACGGGAGGCAGCAGUGGGGAAUAUUGCACAAUGGGCGCAAGCCUGAUGCAGCAACGCCGCGUGAGGGAUGACGGCCCUCGGGUUGUAAACCUCUUUUAGUAGGGAAGAAGCGAAAGUGACGGUACCUGCAGAAAAAGCACCGGCUAACUACGUGCCAGCAGCCGCCGUAA
rnacentral:rRNA from 1 species